CAAGUAGGCGGUCUGGCAAGUGAGGGGUGAAAUCUUCCGGCUCAAUCGGAAAACUGCCUUUCAAACUGCCAAACUUGAGGGAGGAAGAGGAGAAUGGAAUUCUCGGUGUAAGGGUGAAAUCUGUAGAUAUCGAGAAGAACACCAGCAGCGAAGGCGAUUCUCUGGUCCUCUCCUGACGCUGAAUUGCGAAAGCUAGGGGAGCAAACAGGAUUAGAUACCCUGGUAGUC
rnacentral:rRNA from 1 species